GUCCAUUGUCAUUUAAUUUCUCUUCCUCCAACCAUUUUAGCUUGCAGUGCAGAAUAUCAUAAACUAUGUGAGUUUGCACCGACGAAAACAGUCAACAUAUUCUUUCAUGUAAUAACUUGGCCUCGUAAAGGUUGCCAGCCAGUAUAGUGGUUUCAAAACCAAUACGAUUACAAUGACAAAACCAUCUGUCUAUACCGUGGCUAAGUGAUGAGUUUGUGCAUGAGAAACGACGAUGCCCUAACUGAGCUUGAAAGUAAGAAAAACGAUCAUCUGGACAAGCGAUUGCUUCUCGGACGCUGCAGCGUAUACGGUACAGGCUGUACUGUGAAUUUCCCCAAAGCGUCGAAGAAAAAAAAUUGUCCAACAACUAAGAACGGUCCUAAGCAUUUCGCACCCUGAAGAUAAUACUGACUAAGGAUUUGCAUGGCUACGCUCUAACGCAUCGAAAUGACACCUAUUCUAUGGAAUAGAUUUUUAUCGCACUUUUAGGAACUCUUAAAUCAAGUAACCGAGCUAGCACGUUUGCCAUAGAUGUACGCACAAAAGACGCCAGUAAAUUUCUUCAACGACAUCUUCGUCUUCAUACCAUGAGACCUUUAAAAGUUACAGAUGGAGAACACCAUUUCCUGAUUUCGUUCAAAAAUUACGCCUGUGUAAGACUUCCUUUUUUUGAGAUCUGUUGGCAUAUACAAGAAAUUACAGCAAGCAUAUGCCGCAUAUGCACCCGGGGAAAUAUGAGUAGAAAUAAUAAAAAAACAGGAAGCUA
rnacentral:lncRNA from 1 species